rnacentral:misc_RNA from 1 species
UGAUCACCUGCCUUGUUCCAA